GACCACUGAAAAGUUGUUUAAUCUCUCUGUGCCUGGGUUUCUGCAUUUGUAAAACAGAGGUGAUAAUAAUAAAUUUUAGGCAGAGUUUCAAGAAAGUAGUUGAUACCUCUGUCUCUGAAGACAGUUGCUGAGCAAAAAGAAGGGAAAAAACAAGACUUGGGGUGGAGGGAUCAGAGAGAUGGGAUCUUGCUCUGUCACCUACACUGGAGUGCAGCAGUACAAUCAUAGCUUACUGUAGCCUCAAACUCUUGGGCUCAAGUGAUCCUCCUGCCUGAGCACCCCCAGUCUCUGCGAUUACAGGCAUCAACUUUCAUCCUUUCAAAUUUCUCCGAAUUUUUCAGCAACAUAGGCUCAGGGAGGAGCCCAGUCAAGGCAAGGAGCAGCUGGUUGGAGCAUCAUGCGCAACAAACUUUAAAGCAUCAGAAGAAUAAAGCUGAAGACUGGACCUCAUGUACCCCUUCCUGAAGAGAAGAACCCAGGCCGUGACCCCUCUCACCAAAGGAAAUGAUGCUUUCUAAUGGAAAGAAUAGCAUUCUUAGCAUCAACCUCUGUCCACUGAGAAGUUUCUUAUACCAACAUGAAAAUUGGUACCAGGCCAAGCCACCCAUCCCAAAGACAGUCAGUGAUGGCAUCUGAAGCAGACCCCACUCUGCUGGAACUCUGAGAACUAAUGAUUGACACGCGCUGAAGUGCUGCUUACCAGGAAAGACUGAUUGACUCCAUUAAGUCAGCCCCAAACCCUUUAAUAUGCCACCCAAAACUUGUCUGAUUGAGAACAUGACAAAAGAACACUGAAGAGAUAAAUAAGAA
rnacentral:lncRNA from 10 species